rnacentral:lncRNA from 1 species
ACUUGGACCAGGUAUUGGAGCAGUAGUGGUGGUAUUACCUGUGAGCUUAGGUGUGUCAGUACUUCUGGGAGACAAGCUAUCUGGGCAGUCAUUUGUUUUCUUAUAUAUGACUUUCUAAUUAUUAGGGAAUUAAAAGUCCAUCAUAUUAAAUCAUGGUAGAGAAAAAUAUUUCUUCCCUUUAUAAUUUGUUAAGUUUCCUUUGUGUAUCCUGUUUAUAUAUGGGGAAAGUAGCUUUUUAAAAUUAUUUUUAAAUUUCUUUAGAAUUGUAGGUCUCCCAUUUAUUAAAAAACAUACAGAUAGAGUUAUGCAUGUUUUUUCCCCGUAUCCUCGAUAGUAACAUUAAUGUACUUUCAAAGAGGACACUGUAAGCAUUUUCUUGGUUCCUUUAAAGAAUACUCAAUUUCUUUGUGCACUUAUCCACCCUGUAACCCUCUGGCAACUUGUAAUCAGUUCUUGAUUUAGAAAAUUUUGUCAUGUGAAAAAUGCUAUAUAAAUGGAAUCAUGGCAUAAGCUACUUUUGGGGUUGGCAUUUUUCACUUUGAGUAAUAGUUAAUAGUCCAGAGAUUCUUCCUGGCGGGUGCAGGAGUCCAGUUCCUGUCUUACUGCUCAGCGGCUUGAUGCGGAUGACCACAUUUCCAUGCAAUUACUGUGUACAAAACCUCCUACAGACAUUCAUUUUGUUUGGUUGGUUGGAGGAGUUUAUGAGGGUUAGUUAUUCUUUAGCAUUUCUAAGGUUUUUUUUUUUAAGAGGAAUUAUAUUUCACUUUUUUCCCAGCUUAGAGUGAAAUGACAUCUUUACUAUGUUGGGUCUUGUAGUGAUUUUUAUUUUGUUUUGUUUUGUUUUGAAAUAUUGUCAGUCCGUGUAGUCCUGGCCUGGAACUUGAUAGGUAAAGGAAGCUGACCUCGAAUCCAUAGAGAUCUGCCUUUCUCUGCCUCCCAGAUGGGGGUUGGGGGGAGUGAAGUUGUGUGCUACCAUGCCUAGCUUCCUGUGCAUUUUAAAUCUAAUUGUAACAUUACAACUGAAGCAUUUCUUCUUAAAUGUUUUAAAUUGUCAGUUUUUUUUUUUAAGAUUUAUUUAUUUAUUAUAUGUAAGUACACUGUAGCUAUCUUCAGACACACCAGAAGAGGGCGUCAGAUCUCAUUAUGGAUGGUUGGGAGCCACCAUGUGGUUGCUGGGAUUUGAACUCCGGACCUUUGGAAGAGCAGUCGGGUGCUCUUACCCACUGAGCCAUCUCACCAGUCCUGUCAGUUUUUUUUUUUAUUCAAUUAAUAGCUAAGUUAUAUUAAUGCGGUUACAGAUGUAAGGGCUUACACUUGUCCUUUCCUUUCCUGUUUUGUUUUGUUUGUUUUGCUUUGCUUUGCUUUCUUUCUGUUUUGUCGUUUUUCUUGCCUUCCUUUGUACAUGUUUUAUCAUUCCAUUUUUAUUAGUCACGCUUUUUGUGUAUAUAUUUCUUAGCUGAAGCAGUCUAAUUUUUUUUUUUUUUUUUUUACUUUAAGAUGUUGAUACAUGGACAUUCAGUGUUUUUGUUUUGUUUUUAUUGUUGGCUAAUUUGAAAUCUUUGUCAAAGAACUUAGACAUCUUACCUCAAUUUCAGUGUUCAUUAUUGUCUUUCUUCAUUUAGUAUAGCACCUCCCUAGUUCUUAUGAUGGUGAAUGAACUAAACACUGGGCAUUUUGAAUGUUGUUAUUAAACCCAAAUCUAGUUAAACAUUUUGUUUAAACCUUUAAAACAACAACAACACUGUUUCCAAAAGGUAGAGGGAGUACCACGUGGUUAAUACAGCAUCGCUGGACAUCUAAGUUCCCCACUCACACCCAGUGGCAGCAAGUUUGAGUGAGUUUUGACUCUUUUCCUCUGACUGGCUCUGAGAUGGAGUGACCUCACUACUGUCAGACGAUGGCAAAAGUCUUCCCUCUCCACUGUUCCUCUUCUGAUACCACCUUAACAUAGUAGGAAGAAAUGUUAUCUGGGGAAGAGAAGUUUCCUCCUGUUGACCUUGUAUAACCAGCCCACUAAAGGUUUUGCAGUUCGCCCAUGCACCGUCACAGGGGGGAGUCUAGGCAGCUUCCUUGGUUUUGCUGACAAGGGUCUGAGGUUGGCUGCAGUAGAACAAUAUUUCUUUUUAAUCUGUAUAUUUGUUUACAUCCCAAACGCUGCUCCCAGAACCUCCCUCACCAAGUUCCUUCCUCCCUUCCCUCUUGCCCUUCUCCUCUGAGAGGGUGGGACUCCACCCUGGGUGUCCCCAACCCUGGCACAUCAAGUCUCUGCCAGACUAGGUGCAUCCUCUCCCACUGAGGCCAGACAGGGCAGCCAUGAAGACUGAGUUGCCUGUCAGAGCAAAUGUCUUAAAAGUUACCCUGCCAAGCUUCCUUUUUUCCGGCUUGUGAGUUUGUGAGUGGCUUCUUGUCUUAACACAGUGUUUUAAGUUCACCAGUGUUGUGAUUUGUCUUCACAUUGUUUUGAGUCCUACAUAGCAUACCAUCUUAUGAAUAGACUUCAUUUUAGUUCUCUGUUUAUUAGUUGAUGGACAUUUAGGUUAUUUCACUUUGGGAAGUGAAUAAUGCAGUUAUCAACAUUUAAAUUUUGUGUGUACAUGUGUUUUAAUAUCUCCUCCAUGUAUAUCCUGAGUUGAAUUUUUAGUUUAUAUGGUACUAAUUUGUUUAGCUUUUUGAGAAACUGACAAACUGUUUUCCAAAGUGGGUAUACCAUUUUACUUUUUCUCAAGUCCUCACUAGGACUCAGUUUCUCCUCUCUUCUCUCCCUCCCCUCCUCCUUCCUUUUCUCUCUUCUCUCCCUCCCCUCUUCCUUCCCUUCCUUCUAAGCAGGAGGUCUCAGUGUGUUGUCUUGGCUGGCCUUGUGUUUUCCAUUGCCUGGCUGAGCCUCACAGGUAGCUGGGGUAACAGGCUUGCAGCACUGCACCUAAUGUGUCUUUAUUUUAAUCUGUUUGCUGUGUUCAAAGUGGUUUUGAUUUUUAUUUCCACAAUGAUUAAUGAUAUUGAACGUAGUUUAUCAUGGUGAAACUUGUAUCUUUUGACAGUUUUUAAGUUUUUAUUAUUAAGUUGUAAGAGUUUGUCUGUUACUAGCAGGCUUUGUUUUAGAUUCUGACUGCUUUUGAUUCCUCAUCAGAGACGUUUUAACGUGGUCUGUAGUGACACUUUCUCAGAUUUCAUACUUAGAAGAGAGUCUAUGAUCAAUUCUGCCCUUUUUAUAGUAAUCUUAUGAAAACUUUUUAUUUAAAAUAAUUUAACUUGUGUAUAUGUGUCUAUGUGAGUCUAUGGCCACAUGUAUGCAACUACCCAGAGGUAGGAAGAGGGCGUCAAGUCCUCUGGAGGAAUUUGUGAGCCACCUAAAACUAGUGCUGACAUCUGAACUCAGGUCCUCUGGAAGAGCAAGCUUAACUGCUGAACAAUAUCUCCAGCCCCUCAAAAGCUUAUUAGGUAGAAAU